rnacentral:tRNA from 1 species
GCCGCCGUAGCGCAGCGGUAGCGCGCCCGGCUCAUAACCGGGAGGGCCCGGGUUCGAAUCCCGGCGGCGGCACCA